CAGGACUGACCUAUGUGGGCCUAUGUGUGGCUUGUGGAGGUUUAAUAAGGUGCCAGGAUGGCCUUCUACCAGGACAUAUACUCAGUCCUGUGUCUGUGGUUAUGUCAUUAGAUUGUCACUCUUCAGAAGGAAAACAUCCCAAAUGACCCUGGCAGAAGCAGCUGGUAAUAUUUCUGCAGCCUGGGAGAGUGGUGGAGUAACCCACUAGUGAAAAACGACAGGAGGAAUUCCAGUGAAGUUCUCUAGGAAAGAAGAAAAUGUUAUUUGUGCCUAUGUCACCAACUUCCCUUCAACCCCUGGUGGACAGAUGAUGUUAAUGAGUGUCAAGACUCCAUUGCACAAGAGCAGAAGUCAAAGAAGCAGGUGGAUGCUUGGAUGGCUCUGGACCAUAUAAGGUGACAUCCAGCCAGAAAGGAAGCCCACAGUAAACACCUCUGGUGGGACAAAGAAGGGGAAGGCUGCUUUUUCCUGUGGGGUCUUCAAUAAUAGAGGUGGUAAUUUAAAAUAAACAUCUGUGUCCAAAG